UACAGAGGGUGCAAGCGUUGUUCGGAAUUAUUGGGCGUAAAGCGCGUGUAGGCGGCUUGUUAAGUCGGGUGUGAAAGCCCUCAGCUCAACUGAGGAAGUGCGCCCGAAACUGGCGAGCUUGAGUGUCGGAGAGGAUGGCGGAAUACCCCAAGUAGAGGUGAAAUGCGUAGAGAUCGGGAGGAACAUCAGUGGCGAAGGCGGCCAUCUGGGACAACACUGACGCUGAGGCACGAAAGCGUGGGGAGCAAACAGG
rnacentral:rRNA from 1 species